rnacentral:rRNA from 1 species
GAUACCUACGGGAGGCAGCAGUGGGGGAUAUUGCACAAUGGGGGAAACCCUGAUGCAGCGACGCCGCGGGGGUGAAGAAGCGCCUCGGCGCGUAAAGCCCUGUCAGCAGGGAAGAAAAUGACGGUACCUGAAGAAGAAGCCCCGGCUAACUACGUGCCAGCAGCCGCGGUAAUACGUAGGGGGCAAGCGUUAUCCGGAUUUACUGGGGGUAAAGGGGGCGCAGACGGCGAUGCAGGCCAGGAGGGAGA